CCCUGCCGUAAAUGACAGGGGAGAGAGCAGGAGAGAGACAGGGAGAGAGAAACAAGCAGCUCAACUUUAGAGAUUUCAUCCUUCUCAGUUGAGCUCUCUUCUGUCUCUCUGUCUCCAUGCACUGAUGACUUCUGAAACCUCUUUUCUCUUUAUCAUCAUGGGUCCUGCCUCACUGAGAGAUAUCCCUGGCUGUGUUUCAUAAGUGUGUGUGUGUGUGUGUGUGUGUGUGUGUGUGUGUGUGUGCUGACUUGUUUUCAUAUCCUGUUUUCAGACCAGAAUGUCCUGACAAGACAGGAAACAAAUGUAAAUUCUGAAAAGUCAGGACAUUUUGCGUGUAAUUUCAGGUUUAAGGGUUAGGUUUGGGGUUAAGGUUAGGGUUAGGAGUUAGGUUUAGGGUUAAGGUUAGGAGUUAUGUUUAGGGUUUGGGGUUAGGGGUAGGAGUUAGGUUUAGGGUUAAGGUUAGGAGUUAUGUUUAGGGUUUGGUGUUAGGGGUAGGAGUUAGAUUUAGGGUUUGGUUUAGGGUUAAAGUGGAACUGACAGCGUUCCAACUACUUUGCAUCUAUGAAACAGACCAUCAUAAUAUCAGUCAAAAAUAUAAAAUUCCCAGUUUAUGCUACAAACCAACUUAAUGUGAGGUUUUAAAAAUAGAUUCUAUUUGACUCAGCAUUCCAUGAUGUACACUAAGACAUUGUUGGCAGAAUAGAUGGAUGCAGUUCUAUGCAUGAUUCAUAUAAUUCACCAGUACAUGUGUUGAUAGUCCAGAAGAUAUGACCAUCAGGUUGUAACACAGCUGGCCUGGUAUGUUGUUUGCUGCCUCCAUUCAGGAUGCACUGUUUCAGUUUCAACGACUCAAUAUUUUAGACAAUAACGAACGAAUGUAACUAAAGGUGGGAAUACAAUCAAUACAAUCAAACUAGCAAGGGCAAUGAUCACAAGUCAGUCAUAACCUGGCUAAAAGGGUAGCGUAUCUAUUUAUGUAGCAAGCUAAAAACACAGAGCCUAACUUUAGCUAGCUGCUAGUUCGGCGGUCGACGUCCGGUUUUCUAGCCAUCGCCAAUCCACCUUUCAUUUUUCCAUUUGUCUUGUCUUGUUUUCCUACACACCUGGUU
ensembl:lncRNA